rnacentral:tRNA from 2 species
GGAGAAGUACUCAAGUUGGCUGAAGAGGCGCCCCUGCUAAGGGUGUAGGUCGUUCACGCGGCGCGAGAGUUCAAAUCUCUCCUUCUCCGCCA